rnacentral:hammerhead_ribozyme from 1 species
AUCCAGCUCACGAGUCCCAAAUAGGACGAAACGCGCGUCCCGGAU